ACAACAAUUCAAGAGGGCUUCAAAUAUUAAGUAGAACACCAUGAAAAUAACCCAUAUAAACAGAAAAAUACGUCCUUUAUAAUCCUGGAAAGUUAAUGAAAAAUUCUUGAUAAAAUUUAAAGUCAUGCAAAAAUGCAACAACAAGAAGUUUAAACAAAAAUUUAAAGGUCUUAAUAUAAAUUUUAUAUUGAAGAAUAAUUAAAAAACUUUCUCCACUUCUUAUACUUACCAACAUGUGCUGGGACUCCAUGUCGAUGCAAUUUGGGGGCAUGCCAGCCAAUCCUGAAGACUAUACAUAACCAUAAGAGAAGAUGGAGGAUACAAAAUGUCUGAAAAAGUUAAAUUUAUUUAAGUUUUUAAAUUUUAUUACAGAAAUUCUUCACAAUAGAUUAAAUUCUUAAAAAAAUUUGAAAUAAAUUAUGAAAUGU